GGGUCGUUAGCUCAGCAGGUAGAGCACCUGCCUUUUAAGCAGGGGGUCGCAAGUUCGAAUCUUGCACGACUCA
rnacentral:tRNA from 1 species